CCUACGGGUGGCAGCAGUGAGGAAUAUUGGUCAAUGGGCGCAAGCCUGAACCAGCCAAGUCGCGUGAGGGAUGACGGUCCUAUGGAUUGUAAACCUCUUUUGUCGGUGAGCAAGGCCCGCCCCGUGUGGCGGAAGGAGAGUACCCGAAGAAAAAGCAUCGGCUAACUCCGUGCCAGCAGCCGCGGUAAUACGGAGGAUGCGAGCGUUCUCCGGAUUUAUUGGGUUGAAGGGGUGCGUGGGCGGAAGGUUAAGUACGCGGUAAAAUGUCGGUGCUCAACACCGGCCUGCCGUUGAAACUGGUCUUCUUGAGUGAGCGAGAAGUAUGCGGAAUGCGUGGUGUAGCGGUGAAAUGCAUAGAUAUCACGCAGAACUCCGAUUGCGAAGGCAGCAUACCGGCGCUCAACUGACGCUGAGGCACGAAAGCGUGGGGAUCGAACAGGAUUAGAUACCCCAGUAGUG
rnacentral:rRNA from 1 species